AUUUAGUUUUGGCUACUAAAGCCAUUUAGUCGCCGAAUGUAAAAUAAAAAAUUAUUUUUUAUCGUUGGCGACCGAAAAUUUAGUCACCCAAAAUAUAUUUCCAGCGACUAAAAAAUUUUUUAGUCGCCAAAUAGUUAGUUUUGGCUACUAAAAUUAUUUAGUCACCAAAUAAAAAAUAAAAAAUUACUUUUUAUCUUUGGCGACAUAAAAUUUGAUGCCAAAAAUUAAUUUUCAGCAACUAAAAUUAUUUUGAUCGCCGAAGAACUAAAAUAUUUAGAGGGAGAUAUUUUAAAUUUUAGAGGGACUAACAAAAUUAAUUAACAUUUUCCAACAAAACAAAAAGAAAAAACCAAGUUGGUCGCCAAAGUGUGAAAAUUUUAGACAAAACAGACUAGUCUCUGUUUAGACAAAAAUGUAUUGUUUUCUCUCACACAGAUGCUCCUUCUCGACCAAACAUCACCCCAACUCUUUUCACCACAGGCCACCGUCGCUCACCGUACGUCGCACAUCGCUGCCGCCGCAGAUCACAGGGCUUUGUUAUGAUUCGUAAUAAUGUGAUGGUUUGAAAUGGGUUCGGUUGUUGUGGCCUAGAGGGUGCUGCAUUUGUAAUCUCUGAUAUAUCCUUGUUAUGUGUGGUAUAGAGGGAGAAGAGAUGGGGGAGUAUGCUCAAUCAAUAGACUCUAUCUACGUUCUUGGAAGAGUUGUAUACCCAAUCAUCCAUUUAUUUAUAAAUGAGGGAGUCCUAUAAUCCGUUAAAAAGGGGGAAAAAAAAUCAUAUGGGUGUUAGCUCACACACUAUGAAACCCAUCCUAUAUGAGAGGGUGCUGUUAUAUCUGGUUUUUAUUCCUUGGUGGUUGUUUUUUGUUUUUUUUUUAAUAAUUAUUUUACACGUUCCCAUCUAUAAUACAUAUAUACAUAUUAAUCUAUCAUAUGAUCUCAGUUAGCAUAUGUGAGUUGAGUUGAGUGUGCAUGUGAUUGUGAUUGGAUCAUGUAAGUCGUACGAUCAUAAAUGUUCUCCUUAUUAUUGCAGUUUCAUAAGCACUACACGAUGACACAACAGUUAGAAAUUAGGAUUGAGAAUGGGGGAGGGUUACGUAUAUAUAUGGACAAAUCAGGAAUUACAUUCCAUUACCAAUUCAGGUGUUCCCAUUUCACCAAAUAAUUCAAUGUUGUUUAUUUUAUCUAUUAAUCAUAUCACGAAGAAAGAAAAAUAGAAGGUACACCCCAAAAGAAGACUGACUGAUUUGUAAUAAUGUGAUGGUUUGAAAUGGGUUCGGUUGUUGUGGCCUAGAGGGUACUGCAUUUGUAAUCUCUGAUAUAUCCUUGUUAUGCUUUGAGCCUUUUGGUACAUGUUUGGAACAUGCAUGUUACGAAUGCAGAUUUGUGCAUUUGUAAUCUCUGAUAUAUCCUAGUUUGUGUCAGAUUUGUGCAUAUGUGCAUAACAAGGUCACAUGCUAGCCUAGUUUUUCAACCUUUAUAUUACACUCUAUGUUACACCUUUUCCCCUUUUUUGUUUUUUAUGUAUUUAUUAUUCUUUUACACUUUGUUGCUUUGUAACACAGAGAUGUUGAAUUUGAAAAGUGCAAAUGAAUAUAAAUACUUGAGGCAAAGCAAUUGCUAUUCAAUUUCUGGGGUUGAUGAUGCUUAACAGUUUCACAUUGUAAUGGUAUUUUCUUCUUGUCCUUGUUCUUAUUAUUAUGAGCACAGUUAUAACCAUCAGUGAACUAUUGAAUUUGAAUGAACAAUCCUAUUUAGUGCAGUUUGGACAUACGAAUCCAUACUAGCCCUCCUUGAGCCUGUUUCUCUUGAGUAUGACCCCAUGCACCUCAGUUCAAGGGUUCAAAUGCUAGUGAUGGAUUGCUAAAAUUGGACAUGGCAAUCCUUGUUGUAGUGAAGAGGUUUUGAAACCCCUUUGAAAAAAUUACAUUGCUGAUGGUACUUCAUGAAUGCCAUUAGCUAUUCUUAUAAUCAAAUCAAAAAUUUAGAAAACAAGCUCAUAGGAUUUUGGAUGAGGGAGAAGAACUAUUAAUAGAUUAGAUUGAUUGUUGAUAUUUGCUGAUAUCUACUUGUUUCUUCCCAUUCUGAACCAACAUAAAUUUGGUUAAUUUUAUAUGAUAAAUUAAUAAAUGGUGGGUAAAAGAUCAGUUUUCUAGGAGAAUGGCUUUAAGCCAAACCUUGAUUGUACUAUCGUGGGUUAAAGAUUUGGGCAUUGAUAUUGUUUGAAUUUUAUGCAUAUUUUCUAAAAAUGAUAAAUGAAAGCUCAAUUUUCCAUCUUUCUGCUAUCUAUGCUCCCUUCAAUCUCAGGAAUCUCUUGACAACGUGCUAGUUGAAAUCUACAAGGUAUGCACAUUUCUUCAAAUCUGACCUUCUCUAUCACCAUAGAUAUAGCUGUUGAUCUAAUGUGAAUUUUGUUGGUAACAAUUAGGAGAAUUUGGAAAUGCAACUUUUGUGUAUGGAUGACUGGUGUGAUUUUCAUAGCGUUUGGAAAGAAUGCCUUUUUGGUUUUCGUGGCAUUUGGAAUAAGUUGUGUUUGAAUUUAAUGGAUAGGAAAUUAAAUGAUUUGGCACUAUUUAUUCAAGGAACUAGUUCAAAUUUAGGUUUCAUAGUUUACAAAUGGAUUUCAAGCCUUUUUUUGAGAACUUUGUCGUGAUGAAUUUAAAAUAACAUUUUAGUAGUUUCUUGAAUCUUCAUGGUAAGGGGUUUUAGUUCUACAAUGAUCCUAAUAAAAAACUUUUUUCUUCCCCUCUGUUUUCUCUUUCCCAUUUAGCCUAAUAGUUAUAGUUUGACAUCUUGAAUACUCUCUUUAAUUACCUGGUGACCAAGACAAAUCUUUGAGUAUACAUUUUUAUUUUAUUGCAGAGAUUUGGAAGAAUUGAAGAAUAGAUUGAAAUGCCUCAACAUUAAAGUGAAGACUAUUUUUGGAAGAACAGGUUAUUAGGGAACUUGGCCUGGGCAUCCUUACAGAAAAAUAAUGUUUUGGAUUUCAAUGACUUCAAUCCUUCCACUCUUGAUAAUGUUCAUGAGCUCCUAGGACAAAAAGUCUCUUUGCAGCUCAUUAGUUCAGUCAAUGCGGACCCUACUAUUCCAGUUCUGAGCAGACUCCAUGAGAUAGCUUCUGAAAUUAAUGAAAUCGCUUAAACAAAAAGUAGCAGCUUUUUCUUGAAGGGCUUACAAGAAUCCUCUAUGAGGCGUGGCGUAGCAUGGUGUGGUGCCUGAAUCAAUUCAACAAAAAAGAGUUAAAAUCAUGUGGUGUGGUGCCUGAAUCAAUUCAACAAAAAAGAGUUAAAAUCACCUAGUCAGGCAGUCUCCGAGCAGUCUCCAAGCAGGCUCUUAGCUUUCAUUUAAGUGCCAAGAAAAAGGCCUUCUAGAUCAGCGACUACCUGUUUAAGCUUUUGCUCAUUGGAGAUUCGGGUGUUGGCAAAUCAUGUCUCCUUUUGAGGUUUGCUGAUGAUUCAUAUCCGGAAAGUUAUAUUAGCACUAUUGGAGUUGACUUCAAAAUCCGCACAGUUGAGCAGGAUGGGAAAACCAUUAAACUCCAGAUUGAAAGUUUUAAGCAGUUGCAGAUGAAAUUGGGAUUCCUUUCUUCGAAAUAAGUGCGAAAAAUGCCACCAAUGUGGAAUAGGCUUUCAAAAUUGUAUAAUAAAAUUAAUAAUUUAUAUAUUUUGUUGAAUGUUCAUGAUUCAAGUGAAUUGUUGGUUUGAUUGAUUAUUGUAAAUUAUAGAUUGUAUUGAAUAGAUUGGAUAAAUUAUUAUGAAUUACAGGUUUAUUUUGUUG